rnacentral:rRNA from 1 species
AAUAAGCGGAGGAAAAGAAACUANCANGGAUUCCCCUAGUAACUGCGAGUGAAGCGGGAAAAGCUCAAAUUUAAAAUCUGGCGGUCUUUUGGCCGUCCGAGUUGUAAUCUAGAGAAGUGUUAUCCGCGCUGGACCGUGUACAAGUCUCCUGGAAUGGAGCAUCAUAGAGGGUGAGAAUCCCGUCUUUGACAUGGACUGCCAGGGCUUUGUGAUGCGCUCUCAAAGAGUCGAGUUGUUUGGGAAUGCAGCUCAAAAUGGGUGGUAAAUUCCAUCUAAAGCUAAAUAUUGGCGAGAGACCGAUAGCGAACAAGUACCGUGAGGGAAAGAUGAAAAGAACUUUGAAAAGAGAGUUAAACAGUGCGUGAAAUUGUUGAAAGGGAAACGCUUGACACCAGUCAUGCGAGCGGAAAAUCAGUCUUUUGCAGUGGGGAGUUGUGUGGGUUCGGACCGCAAGGCCGGCCUGUGCUGCAUCUCUGCUGUAAGUGAUGCACUUUUUCGUUUGCAGGCCAACAUCAGUUUCUUCUGCUGGACAAAACUCUUGAGAAGGUAGCAGCUUUGGCUGUGUUAUAGCUCUUGAGCGAUACAGUGGAGGGGACUGAGGUUUUCGCAGCGCGUGCUUUCGGGCAAGGCUGAUUGGGUGCUAUGGGAUCGUUCGGUGUACAAUGCAUGCAUUUUGCGCCGUGUCUUUUCUAUACUCGCUCAACUCGGCUCUUCCGCGCUUAGGAUGUUGGCUUAAUGGUUUUAAUCGACC